rnacentral:rRNA from 1 species
AGAGUUUGAUCCUGGCUCAGGAUGAACGCUAGCGACAGGCUUAACACAUGCAAGUCGAGGGGCAGCGAGGGCGUAGCAAUACGCCUGUCGGCGACCGGCGCACUGGUGAGUAACACGUAUGCGACCUGCCCCCUACAGGGGUAUAACCCGUAGAAAUGCGGACUAAUCCCCCAUAGUCCUGGAGGCUGCAUGGCCUUCAGGGGAAAGGCCAGCCGGUAGGGGAUGGGCAUGCGGCGCAUUAGCUAGUUGGCGGGGCAACGGCCCACCAAGGCGACGAUGCGUAGGGGUUCUGAGAGGAAGGUCCCCCACACUGGUACUGAGACACGGACCAGACUCCUACGGGAGGCAGCAGUGAGGAAUAUUGGUCAAUGGGCGCAGGCCUGAACCAGCCAAGUCGCGUGAGGGAGGACGGUCCUACGGAUUGUAAACCUCUUUUGUCGGGGAGUAACGUGCGGGACGCGUCCCGUAUUGAGAGUACCCGAAGAAAAAGCAUCGGCUAACUCCGUGCCAGCAGCCGCGGUAAUACGGAGGAUGCGAGCGUUAUCCGGAUUUAUUGGGUUUAAAGGGUGCGCAGGCGGCGCGCCAAGUCAGCGGUCAAAGUUCCGGGCUCAACCCGGUGUCGCCGUUGAAACUGGCGUGCUCGAGUGCGUGCGAGGAAGGCGGAAUGCGUUGUGUAGCGGUGAAAUGCAUAGAUAUGACGCAGAACUCCGAUUGCGAAGGCAGCUUUCCAGCGCGCUACUGACGCUGAGGCACGAAAGCGUGGGGAUCGAACAGGAUUAGAUACCCUGGUAGUCCACGCAGUAAACGAUGACUACUAGCUUUCCGGGAUGAUUGAGUCCUGGGAGGCACAGCGAAAGCGUUAAGUAGUCCACCUGGGGAGUACGCCGGCAACGGUGAAACUCAAAGGAAUUGACGGGGGCCC